GCGUGCCUGUGCUCCUCACACAGGUGGUGGUAGACGCAGAGAUGGUGUACUGCAGGCAGGAGCAGACAGCUGAGGAGCAACGGUACCAGCCACGGGACGUGAAGCCAGGGAGGGCGGCCGAGCGGAGCAGCGCUGAGGAAGCCCAGGCCUGGAGCACCCUGCAGCGCGCAGAGGAGCGGCCACGUUCAUCCAUGGGGAAGGGCACACCCUGCCAGGCCAACAGCCAGGUGGAGGCCAAGCUGCAAGCAGGCAGCAGCAAAGCCGAGCAGGCACAGAGCAGGUAGGAGGCCCUGAGCCUGGCUGUCCCUGGCACAGCCAGAGCCCAGCCAGGGUUGUGCCCAUGCCCACUCCAUCAAGGGAGGGCAGCCUGGGGCCACCACAGCUGAGGCUGUGCCCUUGCCCCCAGGGAGGUGGCAGUGCAGGUCCAGGCAGAGCUCAGCCAGUGCCAGCAGAAACAGCAACUGAGCCUGGAGCAGGAGCUGAAACACGUGCACCCUGCGUCCCAUGCCCAAGAGAAGGUGCAGAAGAGCCUCGAACAGCUCCAAGCCCUGAGGGAGCAGGUUGGUAGUGGACAAAACCUGCUGGGGGGGUCCCUCCGUCAGCCUGGCCCAGUCUCCCCUGCCCCCGUGGGUAAGCCAGGGCUUGCCCAGGGCCAGGAGCAAGCUACCACGCCACGAGAGCAGCAAGGGCAGCUGCACUGCCAGCAGGACGGGAAGGAACAGCUCUAGCAAGAGCUGCAGCAGGCGAGG
rnacentral:lncRNA from 1 species